rnacentral:rRNA from 1 species
UUUGCUGACGAGUGGCGGACGGGUGAGUAAAGCUUGGGAAUCUGUCUUAUGGAGGGGGAUAACUACGGGAAACUGUAGCUAAUACCGCGUAACAUCUUUGGAUUAAAGUGUGGGCUCUUCGGACCACACGCCAUAAGUUGAGCCCAAGUGGGAUUAGGUAGUUGGUGGGGUAAUGGCCUACCAAGGCAGUGAUCUAUAGCUGAUCUGAGAGGAUGAUCAGCCACACUGGAACUGAGAUACGGUCCAG